rnacentral:rRNA from 1 species
AAUGGAGGAAACUCUGAUGCAGCGACGCCGCGUGAGUGAAGAAGUAAUUCGUUAUGUAAAGCUCUAUCAGCAGGGAAGAUAGUGACGGUACCUGACUAAGAAGCUCCGGCUAAAUACGUGCCAGCAGCCGCGGUAAUACGUAUGGAGCAAGCGUUAUCCGGAUUUACUGGGUGUAAAGGGAGUGUAGGUGGCAUCACAAGUCAGAAGUGAAAGCCCGGGGCUCAACCCCGGGACUGCUUUUGAAACUGUGGAGCUGGAGUGCAGGAGAGGCAAGUGGAAUUCCUAGUGUAGCGGUGAAAUGCGUAGAUAUUAGGAGGAACACCAGUGGCGAAGGCGGCUUGCUGGACUGUAACUGACACUGAGGCUCGAAAGCGUGGGGAGCAAA